rnacentral:rRNA from 1 species
UACGUAGGUGGCAAGCGUUGUCCGGAAUUAUUGGGCGUAAAGCGCGCGCAGGCGGUCCUUUAAGUCUGAUGUGAAAGCCCACGGCUCAACCGUGGAGGGUCAUUGGAAACUGGGGGACUUGAGUACAGAAGAGAAGAGUGGAAUUCCACGUGUAGCGGUGAAAUGCGUAGAGAUGUGGAGGAACACCAGUGGCGAAGGCGACUCACUGGACACGUAUUGACGCUGAGGUGCGAAAGCGUGGGGAGCAAACAGG